rnacentral:rRNA from 1 species
UACUAGCACCCCGAGUGGUCGGGACGUUUAUUGGGCCUAAAGCAUCCGUAGCCGGUUCUACAAGUCUUCCGUUAAAUCCAACUGCUUAACAGGUGGGCUGCGGAAGAUACUAUAGAGCUAGGAGGCGGGAGAGGCAAGCGGUACUCGAUGGGUAGGGGUAAAAUCCGUUGAUCCAUUGAAGACCACCAGUGGCGAAGGCGGCUUGCCAGAACGCGCUCGACGGUGAGGGAUGAAAGCUGGGGGAGCAAACCGG